UGGGAAAUUUUGGACAAUGGGCGAAAGCCUGAUCCAGCAAUGCCGCGUGUGUGAAGAAGGCCUUCGGGUUGUAAAGCACUUUUGUCCGGAAAGAAAUCCUUGGCUCUAAUACAGUCGGGGGAUGACGGUACCGGAAGAAUAAGCACCGGCUAACUACGUGCCAGCAGCCGCGGUAAUACGUAGGGUGCAAGCGUUAAUCGGAAUUACUGGGCGUAAAGCGUGCGCAGGCGGUUUGCUAAGACCGAUGUGAAAUCCCCGGGCUCAACCUGGGAACUGCAUUGGUGACUGGCAGGCUAGAGUAUGGCAGAGGGGGGUAGAAUUCCACGUGUAGCAGUGAAAUGCGUAGAGAUGUGGAGGAAUACCGAUGGCGAAGGCAGCCCCCUGGGCCAAUACUGACGCUCAUGCACGAAAGCGUGGGGAGCAAACAGGAUUAGAUACCCUGGUAGUCCACGCCCUAAACGAUGUCAACUAGUUGUUGGGGAUUCAUUUCCUUAGUAACGUAGCUAACGCGUGAAGUUGACCGCCUGGGGAGUACGGUCGCAAGAUUAAAACUCAAAUGAAUUGACGGGGUCAUAGCUG
rnacentral:rRNA from 1 species